rnacentral:misc_RNA from 1 species
AUCAUAUGUUAUGUGCAAGCGUGGCUACCAACCUAUAGUCUUAAACCGUCAACAAAUGCAGUUUGGUGAUAUGAGCAGCAAACAGAGAUUAGAGAGGCAGCAAAGAAAGAUAACAGAAGAGACAGACGGAAAGAACACCGGAGGCGGAGAGCCACAGGAGGAGGAGCUCGAGGGACGACGACCAGCUGAAUUAGGACUGGAGGGGGCAGACGACGUCGUCGUAGCGGCAGCAGCAGGAGAAGGGAAGACUCAAACGAGGGAUCUCCGAGAGAGGAGUGUGGUAGGCAGGAAGAAAGAAUAAGGCGAGCCGAGAGCCAUUCGCAUGGAGGCGGCGAUGGAUCUGAUGCGGCGGAUGCCGCCACGGAGCGCGGAGACGGCGCUCAACGCGCUGCUCUCCCUCCUCCCCGACCACUCCCUCGACCUCCUCUCCCAGGUCGACCUCCCGCUCCAGGUUUGCAUGGAUAAGGAGAGCCUGAAGGAAUACAUUCUAUGCGAAUAUAACCGUGA